rnacentral:rRNA from 1 species
AUACGGAGGGUCCAAGCGUUAUCCGGAAUCAUUGGGUUUAAAGGGUCCGCAGGCGGUCAAUUAAGUCAGAGGUGAAAGCCCAUCGCUCAACGAUGGAACUGCCUUUGAUACUGGUUGACUUGAGUUAUACGGAAGUAGAUAGAAUAAGUAGUGUAGCGGUGAAAUGCAUAGAUAUUACUUAGGAUACCGAUUGCGAAGGCAGUCUACUACGUAUAUACUGACGCUGAGGGACGAAAGCGUGGGGAGCGAACAGGAUUAGAAACCCCGGUAGUCC